rnacentral:tRNA from 1 species
GGUUGCAUGGUGUAAUGGUUAGCACUCUGGACUCUGAAUCCAGCAAUCCGAGUUCAUAUCUUGGUAGGACCU